GAAAAUGGCCAAUCUGGAUGUGCUCGUUGGUCAUAGACGUCAACACGAACUGUUCAUAUGACUAGAGACACAUUCAGCUUGGCCUGCUUCUCU
rnacentral:pre_miRNA from 15 species